GGAAAUAUGUGUAAUGUUGGAGCAAUGCUAGAUUAUAAAAUUUAUCGUUAAUUAAUAAUGAAACACACAAAGAUUGAGCAGUUGUUGUCAUCAGAAACAUCUACCAGGAACUUACAGGGGGUCAUGAGAUAGCUCUACAGCAAACAAGAAAGAGAAGAAAUGCUUCUUGCCCUGGCAGAAUUAUAAGUGGGCACACUUGCUAUGUUAUACAAUAUUAGGCAUGCAGUAGAAAAAAACAAGGAACCAUACAAAUCACCAGGUGUCUGGUCACAAACUCUGGCAGAGCUUCACACCAAGCAGGCAAGCUACAAGAUUUGGAACAACACAGCUUAUAGAUGAAAGUUAAAGGCAUUUAAUUUACUUGAAAACAGAGGAAGAAAGGACCAACACAUAAAAGAACAUUCAUUUUGAGGGAUGAGCAAUUCAAUUGAGUUCAAGGGUAGAGCAAUGGUGACUUCUCAGCCACCUGCUAUCAAUUUGACAUGUAUUAAGCACACGACUGGGUUAAUAAAAGUGGGAGUUUGGGUUAAAAUGCCCUUUGAGAGGCCCUGAAAAAAUGUUUGUCUAAGAAAGUUGAAACUAUGGAAGAAAAGGUGGUCAACUUCAGAGACAUAGAUGUAACUCCUGCAACGUGCUUCAACAUGGUUUAGCCAAGCGGAAACUUUUUCUUCCUAGUGUAUGCUCUUUAACGUAUUUAAGAUGUCCUUAACAUCUUUCAGAAAUCUACUUUUCUACCAAUAUUAUAUGGGUUAAUAUUUUUCAUAGAUAAAGCACAAAUAGUAGAGGGCUAAUUUUCAGACUAUGCUGCAUUUAUGAAGCAAAGCAAACCUCAUCUGCUUUCAUGACUUGAAUGGAGGAGAAUGGUUAGAGACUAUUAAAAGAGGAGAGGAGAGGAAAGAAGAGGCAAGAGCAAGAACAUACAGCAGACUGGCUGCUCCAACUUGGCAGUGGUCUCUCUAGUUCCUGGAGUCCUGUCCAUGAAUGAGGUUGGACUUGCAGCCACCAGCCAUUGCCAGUGGAGAGGCAGCGCCAGACUCCUACCAGCACUCACAUGGGUGGCAAUGGAAUGAAGUCACCACAUUUAGCAAAGGGUGAUGGCACAUUUCUUGGGUUUGCUAUGGGAGUAACCUUCUGUUUAAAUGUAUUACACAGAGCUCAUCUCUAACAAAAUCAUCUUCCUAUUUGGUUAACACUGUAAAUGAAAAUUCUGAACAGUGUGUGUUUACGCAAAGGUAGAAUCUAUACUCUCAGACUGCUAUCCAUUUGUGUGACCAUAAAGUCUUUAAAACUGAAGUAACGAUGGGGCAGAGAGAGGCAGUAUUUAAUAUCAAAAAGCCACAUGGUUGUUACAAUUUUAGGCAAGCUUAAGCAGAAAUUGUAUAUGUAAGGAAUAAAAUGUCAAUGUUACUUUCAGUUUGAAUUUCUACCACUGAAAUUUUAAUUCAAUCCAAAAUAUUCCUCUGCACAUGAGUCAGGCAGAAUGACCAAAUGUUGAUGCUGCGUGAUGAUGAUGUCCAUAGCCUGGACCUCUUCCCAUCUGGCUCCUUGGAUUACCUCACAGCCCUUCCUAGGUACCCAGAAUGUUUGCUCUUUGGUUAUAAGGCCAGAUGAAUGAGCAAAAACUCCCACCUAAAUCUGUAGCAUGCGGACAACCAAAUGAAUAGAUAUUUGAUUCUACUCACAGAUAUCAAACUAAAUAUGUUAAAUUCUAAAGAGAGCUAUUUCAACACUCUCAAUCUUCAAAAUGGAAAAGCUGCUUCUGUACUUAUGUAAAAUAUAAUAUGCUAUGUUAUACUAUUUGUUACUUCACAAAGUUUUUAACACAUCAUUUUAACACCUCCAAGUCUAUAAAUGUAUACUGCAGCAGAAGCCAUAUUGAGCAUAUAUAAUCAAAAUCGAAUCCUAUAUUCCUGCAGCUCUCACCACCAUCAAAGCUUGCCAUCUGGAGAAAACACAGGGCGACCGUGGCCUACAGAUAGAUGCUUAGAGAAUCCAACCUUCAUCCUGAGCAUGAGGGUGUUGGCGUUUGGAAAAGAGGAAGAAGGGGAAGCAGGCAAAUGUGGGCUUGGAGAGUGACAAUGCUAAUGAAAUAGGGUAAAUAACAAGCUUGGAAGUGAAGACCAGGCCAGUUUCCUAGAACACUUUUCCAUUCUGUAUCUUGAGACUAUGGAGACAGGAAGUGGAGAGAGCAGAUAAAUCCAUGACACUGUACUCUCCGGGAUCAGCUCCUGCCAUUCCGACUGCCCUAAUAUCCUUUCCUGCCUCCUCUCUCUUCUAGUAUUGCUCUCAGAUCAUGCUGGAUAUGCUUAAUAUAAACUGAAUUUAUCAUCUUCUAGAGAUUCCAAUAUCGACUUUAUGUCAAUAACCUCCCAAAUGCCUGUAUUUUGUUCUGAAGUUUCCUCGGGGCAGUAUUUUCAGCUCUCUAUUGGCCAUACCACUUGGAUGAAUAAAAAGAACGUCAAUCUCCAUGUGUCCAACUCAAAGGUCAUGUCUUAUUCCCAGUGUUGAGCAGAUGCUUCAUGUAUGUAUUUUGUUGAGAAGAAUUAAGAAAGAUCAGAAAUGAUUCAAAUUUCUAGUAACAGAGAAUUGGUUAAAUAAACUAUGGUAUGGUCAUUCAAUGCAAUAUUAUUCAGCUGUAAAGGAAAAUACACAGAAGAAUGAAAGGCUUUCUAUCUAUUAAUUUGGAAAGAUUGCCAGGAUUUCUUAAGAGCAUUAUACAGAACAGUGUGUAUAUUACAUUACCUGCUGGUCUCUGUAUAAAGGAACACUAGGAGGACAUGUAAGAAACAAAUACAAGUGGUUAUACAGCCUAGGGGAAGAGGGUCAAUGGGAACAGAACUUCUCAAUGCAUAUGCUAUUAUGUUGUUCGAUUUCUGAAUGAUGUUAAUAUAUACAAAGGAAAUAGUAAUUCUAAACAAGUGGUAACAUUUUUUUAAAGGCUUAAUUCAGAGGCAAAAAAAAAACUGCAAACUUGAGAUCAAAUGAAAAAGAUAAUUUUGUACUCCCUUCUUCCUCUAUACAUUGAGCUGCAAUUAUCAUCAACUUAAAUGUCUUACUUGUUAGCAACCAAGCGCAUAACAGUCCAGUCCUUUGGAAACAUCUCCGGGCGUAUCAAUAUUCGGAACACAGUAAAUAUCUGCAGCAGGAAAUCCUUGGAUAAGGAGAAAAUAGAUCAUUUUAUUGGUUUAUUGUAACUGUCAACAUACAUACGCACAUACACAGGCAGUACUGUUGUACUGUUACCAUUUCCAAAGCAAUUAUAGAGAAGGGAGCCAUAGUUUAACAGUUUGCCCAAGGGAAGGAGUCAUGACCCUUCCCAUUCUCAGGACUCAAACCCACCCAAAUGUUUUCUUUUCUUUCUUGGGCACAGUGAAAAUGAGUUUUUAUUUCUCUCCACAGGUUCUAACAAUUUAGGGUUUUGAAAAUAAAGUGGAAAACUUGUAACAGAAGAUUAACAGGGAAAUACAUUCCCUUUCUUCUAUUAUAGCAUCUUAAACAUCAGAACUUUUCAAUGCAGGAGAACAAUGAACAGUCCUGGCUCAGCUCUGCUUUCCUUUAAGAGGGUGUCAAAUUUUAGAAAGUUAUGCUCAUCAAAAAGCAUCUCAUACAAAAACCUAUUUUUCUUACAGGGCAUUCUUGAGAUGCAGUAUUAAUGGAAUGUAUGCAGGUUUAUAGAAUUUGAGUGAAUUUUCCAGAGUGUGCUGUGCACAAUACAUUCAAAUGAGGAUAUGUGCUAAGUCCAGCCCAGUGAGGAGUGCUUAGUAGUUAUGAGAUUAUCAAUAUAUUCCUCACAAAGAUGCCAUGCGAGAUGGUAGUAGUAUUUACUGAGAUGUUAUCUUUAAAUCGAUCACCUGAAAACACUCUUGACAAGAAGCUA
rnacentral:lncRNA from 10 species